UUUUAAAUUGUUGAAAAAAUUACUACAAUAUUGAUAUUGGAACUAAAAUUAAUAAUAAUAAGUAAAUAGUCACAAAUACUAUGUCAUUACAAGCUAUUGCCUUGAAAGCAAUCUCGGCCUGACUCCGGUGCAAAUUCUUCUAGUCGGUCGCCAUCAAAGGUUCCAUAGUUACUUCCAAACACGUGCACUCAUGGUUGAAAGUUUGGAGUUAUACUAACUAUUGCCUAGAAAUUCACAAUGAAUAGGAAAUCAAUGAGGACAAAGUAAUUUAGAAAGAAAACCAAGAAAAGAGAAUGAUAUUACUUUAUGUGAAUGUGUCUUUACAUAAAGAGAAAACCACAAUCAUAUAGGUGUAGAAAUUGUACGUUUUUUGUGACGAAAUAAAUAAGAUAUCAGUUGAUAUCUCAUUAUGGACAUGAAUGAAUGUGACUUUUGUUCUCAUCACCACAAUUAAUUUGAGAGAAUGAUAUGAGUUUUUACUUUGCAUUUUCAUCUGCACAAUUAAUUGCAGAGAAAUGAAUGUAGUGAAUUCAUUGUUUGUAUUCUCAUUCAUGAACGAAAAAAGCUCACUACUAGGAAAAAUUAUUCUAGAGUCCUAUACCAAAUGUAUGAAGGUACAUCUAACUAAUUCCUAAAGUAUAUUCUUUCAAUUGAUUUAGCUAUAUCCUCUAUAUAUCUUGUUGUUAAGAUACAUCUUCGCGGUAGUCAAAUCACAAGCUAACAAAUAACACGGGCUUCUUGGCCAAAAGGACACUUUUACUAAACUAUAUUUGUAUUUAGACACAAAAUUUAAAUUCCUUACCAAAUAUCCCACUAAUAAUGAAAUUAUCAAUCCUACUUCCGACGCAACCACUUUUACACCACUAUGUUUUAAAAUAGUGAAAAUGAUCAAAUUUACUCAUCUACUUUAGAAAAUUGGCUAAAUAUAUGUCCUUUAUCAUACUUUAUACUCUUAAUUGUUUAGGGGUCAUCACCAUUUAAAACCUAAGGCAACAUGUUGAUGAUUCUUAUAUGUUUAUUUUGCAUGUAUAAGAGUUGAGAGCUUUAAGAAAUAUAGAGUACUUAUUGUUGGAUGGGAACAAAUUGGACGAGAACUUUUUCAGGAGUAGAGGUGUAUUGUCUUUCCGUAAAAUAUUUUCAGUAGCUCAAUGCAACCUCAAUGGAGCCCCACCUCUUCAAGGUAAGAUUAAUGGCAAUGUCAACAUAAGAUUCAAUUCUAUCCAUUAGAUCACUCUUAUAACUUAGCCUAAUUAAUUUGAAUGUGAUUUAUACGGUUAUUAUUGGGUUCGAAAUCGAGAGAGCGUCAUGCAGAAGCUUAGAGUUUGCAAACCAAGACGGUGAUAAUUCAGAUGAAAAAUAAAAAUAUACUAAAACGUAAUAUUAUUGAUGUAAUUUGGCCAAUUGGUCUACACAUAAAAACUAAUAAUAAAGAAAAUAUAAAACUGUUGGGAGAAUAUCUCUCCCUAAACAAAAUUCUUUAAACGACUAUAUUUUGUGGAUCGUAUUGUGUUAUAGUAUGAGAAGAUGAGUGUUGUAUUUAUAUAUGUCCAAAAUCAUUCUACUAAGAAAGAAGUUAGCCAAAUAUGGAAAACAAUUAUAUUUUCCUCAAGAAAAGUAAAAAUAAUUAUGGUAUUAAUUUUAUUUUCCUUUUAAGAAAAAUAAAACUAAAAUUUGGUAAGAAAAUUAGGACAAAAACCUAACAGUUAUAUGGUACAAUUAAAUGUCAGUUCUUUCUCUUAGUACCAUCUUCCUAGAUGGUGCUCCGUCGAUAUGUCAUGAGCUGAACUUUUUCGUUGUUGAAAAUUCGACUAAACGCUACUUCCUCCGUUUAAAAAAGAAUGACCUACUUUGACUUGAUACAAAGUUUAAGAAAAUAAAAAAACUUUUGAUCUUGUGGCCUUAAAUUAAAGUUGUGUCAAAUGUACUAAAAUGCCCUUUAAUCUUGUGGUCCUAAACAUGCCACGUGGAAAGUUGAAAAUAAAGUAUUGCCAAAAAGGGAAAGGGGUCAUUCUUUUUUAAAUGGACUAAAAAGGAAAGUAGGUCAUUCUUUUUGAAACGGAGGGAGUAUAAUUUAAGAUCAAAUGCCUUCUUUGCUAAUGCUUAUGAAUAAACAUUAUGAAGGACUGACAUUAAUAAUUAAAAACCUAACAAUUGAUUAUGAGAAGAUUUUGAAACGGAGGGAGUAUAAUUUAAGAUCAGAUGCCUUCUUUGCUAAUGCUUAUGAAUAAACAUUAUGAAGGACUGACAUUAAUAAUUAAAAACCUAACAAUUGAUUAUGAGAAGAUUUAGAUGUUUAUUAUAGCCUAUAACAAAAUUCUGGCUUAAUUUACUAUCCUUUUAUUUUUCCUACUUGAAUUUUUAUCUCUUGAACUUACCUUACAAUUUUGGUUUGCAUGUUUCCUAUAUUUUUUGCGUAAUAACAAAAUAAAACAUGUAUAACAGUAAUAAAACAUUUAUAAAAGUUAUCUACAUAUUCAUCUUAUAGGCUUGUGUGAUCAUAAUAUCUUGAAGAACAAAGUCUCCGAAGAAACAGCUUCAGUGGAAAAGUCCCUAUAUGUCUUGGAAACUUAACACUUGUGAUCUCACUCAAAAUUAGUUUCCCUCUGCACUUAUAGGCUUGUGUGAUAUCAAAUAUCUUGAAGAAGUAAGUCUCAGAAGAAAUAACUUAGUUGGAAAAAUCCCUACCUGUCUUGGAAAUUUAACAUUUGUUCGAAUAAUAGAUCGCAGUCAAAAUCAGUUUACUGGAAAUAUUGUCUCAUCUCCACUUGCAAGUCACUUAUCCCUUGAAUAUCUCUUGUUAGCAGGCAACAACUUUGAAGUACCAAGUUCAUUCGAGUUGUUUGCUAACCAUACAAAGCUUAAGAUUGCUUUUGCUGACCGAAACUUAGCAAUUGGACAAACUUCUUCCAAAAUCUGGGUACCAAAGUUUCAAUUGGAAGCUUUAUCUUUAAACAACUACUCUCAAAUACCAAGUUUCCUACAUUAUCAAUAUCAUUUAAGACUUCUUUGUCUCUCGAAAUGCAACAUUGGUGGGAGAUUUUCGAAUUGGUUGCUACAAAACAAUCCCAGACUUGGAGAAGUUUACUUGGAUGGAAAUGAUACAAUCAGUGAUGUCCAGUAAUGUACUUGAAGGCUUAUUGCCUUUAAGUUUGGGUGACAUGAAAGACCUGGAAUGCUUGGAUUUGUCAGGCAAUAAACUAAUUGGUGGCCUACCAAGUGGAUUGGCUCGUUAAAGUUCCAAUUUGUAUUUUCAGCGAUUAUUGAAUGACACGUUGAAG
rnacentral:lncRNA from 1 species